rfam:Firmicutes bacterium CAG:536 genomic scaffold, scf149
UUCAAAACGCAGUCGCUGGUUUUUAACUAGAGGAAAGUCCAUGCUCGCACAAUCUGCGAUGAUUGUAGUGUUUGUGCUAGAUGAAUAAAUAAGUCUAGGCAUUAAUUUGACGGCAACUUUAAUCCUAAGGGCAACUAUGGAAGCGAGUUUGAAAGUGCCACAGAGACGAGUUCGAUUGGAAACAACGAAGUGGAACGGGUAAACCCCACAAGCGAGAAACCCAAAUUUGGUAGGGGAGUCAGCUGGAAUGAAUUGAAAGGAAGGCUGGAUAUCGAAAGAUAUAGAUAAAUGGCUGCAUAUACAGAACAUGGCUUAUGAUU